AACGCUAGCUACAGGCUUAACACAUGCAAGUCGAGGGGCAGCACUAGGUAGCAAUACUGAGGUGGCGACCGGCGCACGGGUGCGUAACGCGUAUCCAACCUUCCCGAUACUCUUGGAUAGCCUUCCGAAAGGGAGAUUAAUACAAGAUGGUGUUUCACUUUCGCAUGUUAUUGAAACUAAAGAUUUAUCGGUAUCGGAUGGGGAUGCGUGACAUUAGAUAGUAGGCGGGGUAACGGCCCACCUAGUCUACGAUGUCUAGGGGUUCUGAGAGGAAGGUCCCCCACACUGGAACUGAGACACGGUCCAGACUCCUACGGGAGGCAGCAGUGAGGAAUAUUGGUCAAUGGUCGGAAGACUGAACCAGCCAAGUAGCGUGAAGGAUGAAGGUUCUAUGGAUUGUAAACUUCUUUUAUACGGGAAUAAAACCUCCCACGUGUGGGAGCUUGUAUGUACCGUAUGAAUAAGCAUCGGCUAACUCCGUGCCAGCAGCCGCGGUAAUACGGAGGGUGCGAGCGUUAUCCGGAUUUAUUGGGUUUAAAGGGAGCGUAGACGGGGGAUUAAGUCAGUUGUGAAAGGCUGCGGCUCAACCGCAGCACUGCAGUUGAUACUGGUUCCCUUGAGUGCGGUUGAGGUGUAUGGAAUUCGUGGUGUAGCGGUGAAAUGCUUAGAUAUCACGAAGAACUCCGAUUG
rnacentral:rRNA from 1 species